rnacentral:tRNA from 3 species
GGAGAGGUGGCUGAGUGGUCGAAAGCGCUCCCCUGCUAAGGGAGUAUACCUUCACGGGUAUCGAGGGUUCGAAUCCCUUCCUCUCUACCA